rnacentral:rRNA from 1 species
AACGAACGCUGGCGGCAUGCCUAACACAUGCAAGUCGAACGAGACCUCCGGGUCUUGUGGCGCACGGCUGCGUAACGCGUGGGAACCUGCCCUUAGGUUCGGAAUAACUCCCCGAAAGGGGUGCUAAUACCGGAUAAUGUCUUCGGACCAAAGAUUUAUCGCCUUUGGAUGGGCCCGCGUUGGAUUCGCUAGUUGGUAGGGUAAAAGCCUACCAAGGCGACGAUCCAUAGCUGGUCUGAGAGGAUGAUCAGCCACACUAGGACUGAGACACAGCCCAGACUCCUACGGAAGGGAGGAGAGUAGAACAUUGGACAAGGGAGGAAAGCCUGAUCAAGCAAUGUGGGGUAAGUGAUGAAGGCCGUAGGGAUGUAAAGCUCUUUUACCCGGGAUGAUAAUGACGGUACCGGGAGAAUAAGCACCGGCUAACUACGUG